rnacentral:lncRNA from 1 species
UCUUCUUGAAAUUCAAUUCUCCUCCCUUUUUCUUGUUUACCAGGUGCAUAUUUAUAUACACACAUUUGUAAUAUUAUUGUGAUCUUGCCUUAAUGGCGAAUUAAUUGUCAAUUAGAAAAAUAGGGAAAUAAAUGAUCUUGAUUGAAGAAAAAUAAAUCAAAUUAAAAUCAUAUUUUUCUCUUUAGGAAGAAAUUGAAUACAACAAUCAAUAUAUUAUUUUUAAUUAUUUCUUGUAAUCAUUGCCAUAAUGUUGAUUCAAAUU